GUGUUCUCUUCAGCAGCACACACACUGAAAUUGGAAUGAUACAGAGAACAUUAGUGUCACCCCAUCAAGGAUGACAACAAAUUUGUGCAGUGCUUCCAUACUUUU